rnacentral:rRNA from 1 species
GACGAACGCUGGCGGCGUGCUUAACACAUGCAAGUCGAACGAAGUGGCGAACGGGUGAGUAACGCGUAAUCAACCUGCCCUUAAGAGGGUGACAACAGUUGGAAACGAACGCUAAUACCGCAUACUGAAGGAGGGGAUUGCGUCUGCAUGGUUAGUUGAAGGGGUAACGGCCCACCAAGGCGAAGAUCAGUAGCGGGUCUGAGAGGAUUAACGGCCACAGUGGGACUGAGAAACGGCCCAGACUCCUACGGGAGGCAGCAGUGGGGAAUCUUCCGCAAUGGACGCAAGUCUGACGGAGCAACGCCGCGUGAGUGAUGACGGCCUUCGGGUUGUAAAGCUCUGUUAAUCGGGACGCGGUACCGGAAUAGAAAGCCACGGCUAACUACGUGCCAGCAGCCGCGGUAAUAC